rfam:Ictidomys tridecemlineatus contig029992, whole genome shotgun sequence.
GGGGUUGUGGCUCAGCGGUAGAGCACUUGUCUAGCACGUGUAAGGCCCUGGGUUCAAUCCUCAGCAUCACUU